UGCAGCAAAUGACAGCAAAUGAGCGGAAGAAAUAUUUCACAUUGAUUUAAAUAACUUCUGGAGAAAACACAACUCCGUUACUUGUAGUUAUGGAAACAAGUGUGUGGUAUUACUACAAAUAUAAUUAAUUGAAUUCUAUUGGUUAUAGCUAGUGUGGCAGGAUACUGUGGGUGCUUGCCUCUUUAAGAGCGGAGCCAAGCAGCCAGCAUGUGCUUGAUUGCGGCGGCCAUUUUAGAUCCCUGACCAUCCAUAUAAACAGGGCGGUUCACUGCUGGCAGCCUAGGCAAAAACAUUGCCUGGCUGUAAGACUUCAUGUAUCAUUCUGCAGGUGUUCUUAAUCAUGCAAAGAAGACCCAGUCUAAGGGUUUAAAGAAUCAGCCUAUGAAAACUUUAAGCUACUAUAUAUGCAAAGUGGGAAGAGCAUCUUUGAUUCACUGGGGCAAAAUGGACAGGUGAAGGGACCCCUGGGGUGAUGUCCUGGGCAGACUCAUGUUGUCAAAACUGAAGAGGAUGCUGGCACAGUUCCACUGCUGUUGGUACCCCAGCCAGCUCAUCUGAAGUUCACUCUGGUUUCUGUCUUUUCUGCAAAUACACCUCUAGCUGCAGUGCAGAUAUACCCUGUGAGAACCACUCAGACCUCAAAUGUUUUAUACUCACAAACCAGCAAAGCAUUGCCUAAAUGUUGUCAUCAGAACCUUCUAUAUUUCAGCUUCAAUAGAAAAUGCUUUUUUGUAAAGGAAUAAAAUUUCUCUGCAAUUAUUUUCAGUCCAUUCCCUAAAGCUUCUUGCUAAUAUGACAGCCAGGAAGUAAAAAGGAUUAGGAAAUGGUUCACCUAUUUCCCUUGUCCAAGCAAAAUGAAGCAUGAAAUAGAAACACAUUAAUAGUGCAUAGGAAGCAAGAUUUUUAACAUCCACAUUUAAUAAUUUAAAGUGUCAUUAGUGACACAGGGAAGCAAAUGCAUUUUAUAAGCAAAGGGCUUAGUAUUGCUCACAUGAGUGUAAUCCCAGUGAAGUCAGUGGAAAGACAAAUGAGCUCAAACAAGCUUUAUGUUGGUAGUAUCCCUUUAAGGUUAGCAUGAGAACUGUAACUUUUGCAUUUCCUUGCUUGCACAUUGAGAUGGGGUUU